UAUACCGUGAAACUGCGAAUGGCUCAUUAAAUCAGUUAUCGUUUAUUUGAUAGUACCUUACUACUUGGAUAACCGUGGUAAUUCUAGAGCUAAUACAUGCUAAAAACCCCGACUUCGGAAGGGGUGUAUUUAUUAGAUAAAAAACCAAUGCCCUUCGGGGCUCCUUGGUGAUUCAUGAUAACUUCUCAGAUCGCAUGGCCUUGCGCCGGCGACGGUUCAUUCAAAUUUCUGCCCUAUCAACUUUCGAUGGUAAGGUAUUGGCUUACCAUGGUUUCAACGGGUAACGGGGAAUUAGGGUUCGAUUCCGGAGAGGGAGCCUGAGAAACGGCUACCACAUCCAAGGAAGGCAGCAGGCGCGCAAAUUACCCAAUCCCAACACGGGGAGGUAGUGACAAUAAAUACUGAUACAGGGCUCUUUUGGGUCUUGUAAUUGGAAUGAGUACAAUUUAAACCUCUUAACGAGGAACAAUUGGAGGGCAAGUCUGGUGCCAGCAGCCGCGGUAAUUCCAGCUCCAAUAGCGUAUAUUAAAGUUGUUGCAGUUAAAAAGCUCGUAGUUGAACCUUUGGCCUGGCUGGCAGGUCCGCCUCACCGCGUGCACUUGUCCGGCCGGGCCUUCUCUUCUGGAGAACCGCAUGCCCUUCACUGGGUGUGUUGGGGACCAGGACUUUUACUUUGAAAAAAUUAGAGUGUUCAAAGCAGGCCUUUGCUCGAAUACGUUAGCAUGGAAUAAUAGAAUAGGACGUGCGGUCCUAUUUUGUUGGUUUCUAGGACCGCCGUAAUGAUUAAUAGGGACAGUCGGGGGCAUCAGUAUUCAAUUGUCAGAGGUGAAAUUCUUGGAUUUAUUGAAGACUAACUACUGCGAAAGCAUUUGCCAAGGAUGUUUUCAUUAAUCAGUGAACGAAAGUUAGGGGAUCGAAGACGAUCAGAUACCGUCGUAGUCUUAACCAUAAACUAUGCCGACUAGGGAUCGGGCGGUGUUACUAUUUUGACUCGCUCGGCACCUUACGAGAAAUCAAA
rnacentral:rRNA from 1 species